UCCGACUGACGAACAAGUUUAAUCUCCACCACUGCCACAAUAUCCUUACAAGCUAUUAUGCCACGAAUUCGCCAUCAUCUAGCAACAUCCAUUUUGGCACCUUUCUCUCCUCUUUCCUACUCUUUACUCCCUAUUUUUCCUUUUCACCUAAUCCUAGUAUCGGGUAAAUGAGCAAAAUAUAAGUCAGCUUCACUAAUCUCCAAGGAUGUUUGAAUCAAUAUGAUAGACCUAUUAGCACA
rnacentral:lncRNA from 1 species